GUGCUUUUCUGCUUGGUGUUAGGUUACUCUUUAAGCAUGAUGCUGAGACACUAGAGAGCAGCAGAGCAGCACUAAACAGACACUCUCUGACCCAUAUUAUCUCCUCUAAAUGCUGCACAUAUAAUACAUAGGUGUUCUUACUGUAAAGUGUCAUAUACUAAAUAUUUAUAUAGUAGACACAGCAGUCAUUUAGUUCAUUACACUUAUUUUUCACUCUGUCUUAACUGUGUAUGCCGUUUUCAGAUUUGUGUUUAUUUGAAUGCGCCCUCCAGAGUCUGUUGAUCACUUCCAAUAAGUAACACAAAAACAAUAAAAUAAAAACGCAGCAACGUAACCAGAGCACAGGUAAAAACUAUUUGCUCCUCUUCGCAAAUUAACAACACCUGAUACAUGAAUGACUGGAACUUAAAUUACCUGGGUCCGGCCUGGGCCUUUACAACACAGUACAACACAACACGCCACCUGUGGCUCGGAGGAACACAAUACAAAUCAAUACAUGGCUCCUACAGGUCUUCAGAAAGAAGGAACUGAAGGUUUAGAUAGAAAACAAAAAGAUGUUAAACAAACGUUGAUAACUUCUAUGUCCAUCUUUACACAUUCUAGCCACAUUGAGAAGUUUAAAGGAGAAGCACUUCACCCUAUCACCAGGACACAGACUGUUAGACCAAAGGCUACGCCUCUCCCAAGUACCUAUUGUUGCUUUACGUUGACAGAGUAGAUGAAUAUUUAACAGGAGGAGGGAAAGUGGUAGGCAUCAGAUCACUAAGAAGAAAAUAACACUCUCCACAUCAUGUGACCAGACUAUCAAUGGUCUGAUGACAGACUAGAUUGCCGCUCUUGAUUGGCUGCCUAUUUCUUUGUUGGCCCAAUGUUGAGCUUUGAAAUGAACUUUGAAUGAAAUACAAGUAGAUGGUGCAUGUCUACAGCUAUAUACAGAUAUAGACUGGAUGUUUACAGGUCAGAUGGGGUCGUGUGGUGAGUUGGAUGCCUUUGAGAGAGAUGCAGGCAGGGUGGAAAUGUGUGUGGUCAGUACCAUGGACAGCGAAAAGAAGCUUAUCCAGGUGAUCAGCGCGAUGCGGUGGGAAAUCAGAAAGCUGGAGCUGGAGAACAUGGGCCUGAGGAGGACAGCUGGAGCUAAUCUCCGAAAGAAUGCAACGGUUCCCAUCAUGACAGCAGAAUGCAGAGAGAGCGUCGUCAUGACAGUGAGGAGAUAUUCGAUCUUCCAGCCGUUGGUCCAUCAACGGAAGUUGGACGAUGCUAAAAGUGAGCGGUGGACUGGAAAACAGCAGAGAUAAAAAAAAUAAAUAAAAAAAAAUUAGCAAUGGUGUCCAACUGUAUCUGACACUAUGUUUUCUGUUAUAAAGAAAGUGCCAGCUCUUGAGGGAUAGCCUAGCAUUAACUCUAUUUUGGCACCUGAGGCAAAAUAGUGCAUCACAGUCACAAAAUAAAGUAUUUUUUUCUGCC